ACAAAUUAAAAGUAAGCAGUUAGAGGAUGAGUUACUAAGUUCGCAUUUCCAGCAGGUGGAGAAUGGGGAAACUUCAGAUUUUGGGCUAAAUGGCGAAGGGGUACUUUAGUUUUUUGAAAGAGUGUGUGUACCGAAAGAUGCUGGUUUGAGACUAUCUAUACUAUAGGAAGCGCAUAGUAGUCCUUACGCUAUGCAUCCUGGC
rnacentral:lncRNA from 1 species